AGUCGAGCGGAUCUUGUCCUUCGGGAUAAGGUUAGCGGCGGACGGGUGAGUAACACGUGGGUAACCUGCCCAUAAGACUGGGAUAACAUUCGGAAACGAAUGCUAAUACCGGAUACGCGAAUCGGUCGCAUGAUCGAAUCGGGAAAGGCGGAGCAAUCUGCCACUUAUGGAUGGACCCGCGGCGCAUUAGCUAGUUGGUGGGGUAACGGCUCACCAAGGCGACGAUGCGUAGCCGACCUGAGAGGGUGAUCGGCCACACUGGGACUGAGACACGGCCCAGACUCCUACGGGAGGCAGCAGU
rnacentral:rRNA from 1 species